rnacentral:rRNA from 1 species
GGGAGGCAGCAGUGGGGAAUAUUGGACAAUGGGCGCAAGCCUGAUCCAGCCAUGCCGCGUGUGUGAAGAAGGCCUUAGGGUUGUAAAGCACUUUCAGUGGGGAGGAAGGCCUUAAGGUUAAUAGCCUUGAGGAUUGACGUUACCUACAGAAGAAGCACCGGCUAACUCCGUGCCAGCAGCCGCGGUAAUACGGAGGGUGCGAGCGUUAAUCGGAAUUACUGGGCGUAAAGCGCGCGUAGGCGGUUAGUUAAGGUGGAUGUGAAAGCCCCGGGCUCAACCUGGGAACUGCAUUCAGAACUGGCCGGUUAGAGUACGAGAGAGGGUAGUGGAAUUUCCUGUGGAACGGUGAAAAGCGUAGAUAUAGGAAGGAACAUC